rnacentral:lncRNA from 1 species
UUUGUUAAGAGAGAGAAAGCGAAAGAGAGUAAAAGAAAAAAGCCUCGCCGACCGGCGGAGUGGGCUUCCACAGCCACCGUCGGUCCGGUUUGUUCUUGUUUUUUGGUUUUCGUUUAAGCUUUCUUUCGUCUCGAUUUAGCUGUGUGGGAUUUGUUUUUCGGUGGUUUUCCGGUUCCGGGAGGUGGAGGCUUUGACAGCUCCGCCGCCGCCGGUUUUGUUACCGAGAGGUAGAGGCUUCCACAGCUCUGCCGCGUCGGCUUUUGCUACCGGGAGGCGGUGGCUUUGUCAGUACCGCUGUCGUCGGCUUGUGUUCCCGGUGGGUGGUAGCUCCUCUAGUAUCGCCUUCUUCGGUUUCGUUUUCUUUGGUUCAGUUUUUUAUUCCCUUUCUUCUCGAUCUAUGAGUCGGCGCUUCAAAGUCUCUCUGUCUCUUGAUCUAUCAUCUGAAACCGCUGCAUGGAAGUCGGAGGUGAUGGAUUGAUUGUAGGCGGUUAUUUGCUCGAGUGAUUUCAUAGAUCCGCUUUGGUGUGUGGUUAUCCGUUUGGCUUGGGUUUUGGACGAGAUCUCGAUAGGUUAGAUCGAUGGAUGCUCUCCGAGGAAGGUUCUCAAGCGGGGAAGAUCGGCCGGUCUCGUUCUGGUGGCUUGCGGCGCCGGUUACGGUGGCAUGCUUGGAAAACUAGGGUUUCCAUAAGUUUGGGCCGCGUGGGGUUUAAAGUUUAGGCCCGUUUUUUUUUGUUUAUACUAGUUGGGCCGGAUGCGUGGGCUUUUAUUGUAAUGUUUCUUGGUUGGGCUUGUCCCUUAAUUUUAAUAAACUCAGUUGGGAA